rnacentral:tRNA from 1 species
GGGCGUGUAGCUUAGUGGUAAAAGCAGUAAACUUUUAUUUAUAGAUCUUAGGUUCGAGUCCUAACACGCUCA